GUUUAAAAUAGGGGGAAGUAAGAAAACAACGUUGGGUGAAAUUUUGGUGACAAAUUAUGUGAGAAAAAUGCUGUGGAUUGAUUUUGAAACAAUCAAUUCAAAUGUCGUCACACUUUUGAAGACAUUUUGAAUGCAGGGAAGGAGUAACUGCCUUGAUCCGCGACACUGUAAUAAAGGGAUAGCAGCAGCAUGGAGGAAUGUGAAGCAGAUCGCAUCAACAACAAUGGAGCAACAGAUUUAUUUGGAAAAGUCCUUUGUUCCAUACCCAUGGCCUUAUUUGUAUGAUUUUUUUUCUAUAUUGUAAGUGCAAGAGCUUCAGUACUUCCUUUACCUGAUGGGAGAAGCUGAACGUCGCAUCAACAAGCCAAGUAUCUACUUCUGCCACCUCCAGUGACGUCUGCCUGUCUUUCAGACCCAAAUGUUGACGUAUAAUUAAGGCUGAGUGUUGUAAUAGGUGACUGUCCGCCUACCCAAGACACUGUAAAGUGACGAAAGCAAACGCCUUCAAUAACAAUGUGAGGUAGCCUGCGGUGCAGCAGCAGAUGCUCCUUGCAGCAGUAUUUUUUUUUUUUUAAUAUGCUGCCUGUGCAGGCAUGAUCAUGACUGCGAGCACACACAGCGUUGAACAGAGGACACAUUAUGGCAACACAAUGCCUCCAUCUAUUCACAAUCUGCAAAAGUGGAGGAAGCUCCCGGGCCCGAUGGUCUUGUGGAAAGCGGCAGACGACAGUGAGCGUCUUCAAAUAACACCCAAUAUUGCAGCAAUACACAUUUUAAUAGUGGCACGGAGCCAUCAAAAUGCGUCUCUGCAGCAUUUAUUGUUGAACCCCGCCACAGUCAGGAGGAAAUCAAGGAUUUCGUAUCUUUUUUUUUUUUUUUCUUUUUGAGUGAUAUGGAGAGGAACAAAAGAGGUCUUCCACAUGCAUCCACGCACUGUCUCCCGAGCAGCGGCCGUGCAGUGACGUGUGACCGGCACAGCUUUGGGAGCCGGGGGCGGGCUUAGGAGAGCCAGGCCCCGCUGGGUGUCUCGUCUCCUGCAAAGCCCGCGUCGCUCGCUUCCUUCCUCCCUAAAACCUCGCCGCCGACAGCCGCAAACGACACAACCCAGAAACCCCGUCACGAGCGAACUCGCCGCACAGGCCUCGGCCGCUCAGCCUUACCUUAAUAUCCGCUUGUGUUUGGUCGAGAGGAGGCCAUUGUCUGGUGCUUCUGGUGUUGCUGCUGCUGCUGCUGCUGAGUCCUCCUGCCGUCUAAACCGAGCGAGUGUUCGCCUGCCGAGUGCUCCUCCUCUUCCUCCCCCUCCCAUCAUCUGUUUACCUCCAUCCCACUCUCCUCGCCCUUCUCGUCAUCAUCAACGCCGCCACCUUCCAUCUUGACUUCACUGUCUUGCCUUCUUUUUCACUCGCCCCUAUUUCGUCCUCUUUCCUCUAAUUCUCUAGCGGUGCCUUCCAAAUGAAUAUUAUUUUCUCGGUGGAAAUGGUCUGGAACAAAAUUCAGGACUUUGAUAAAGUAUGCAAUUUAGUGUUCGAAUAGAACACUUUUUUUUCAAGAAACUACUGGAAUAAAUCUCUACGCGACCCGUCGAUUUACCUGCUUAUUUGGGAUAUUUGGCGACCUCUGGUGGCACGAAGUAUACAAAGACAACAGCGGCGUUUACAAAGGUUCAACGGGGUCUCCACUUCCUGAGAGUCCUCAGGAAGAAUAACCUGGACACAACAGUUGCGGGUGGUCUUCUACUGCUCAUCCAUCGAGAGCCUGCUGAGGUACUCUAUUUGGUACAGGAGUUGCACUGAGCCAGACAGAGCAAGGCUUCAGAGGACAAUCAAAGCAGCAUAGAAGAUCAUUGGCUGCCCUUCGCCCUCUGUGGCAAACAUAUAUUUGUCUUGGUGCCUCAGCAGAGCUCAGAACAUUAUCAAGGACUCUACACAAGCCAGUUAUCAACUGUUGGAGCUCCUGCCAUCUGUAAGGCGGUACAGUUGCCCAAAAGCAAAGAGCAGCUGACUGAGGAACAGUUUUUUUACCGAGAGCCAUCACCAUCCUGAAUGCUUGUCUUUCCUUUCCUGUAUUUGUGUAGUCUUGUUUUUUUUAAUGUAUUUUUACCUAUUUUUAUUUACUUUGCUUUUAUGUAUGCACUGAAAUUUCCAAUUCUCCAAUUUCACUAUACAGCUUGUAUGAUGACAAUAAAGCACGGAUGCAUGCAUUCAUUCAAACAACCAAAUAAACCUUUUUCUAUCUCAUUAUUUUAGAAAGUCCAUCCAUUUUCUUAGCCGCUUAUCCUCACGAGGGUCGUGGGGAGGGGUGGAGCCUAUCCCAGCUGUCGACGGGCAGGAGGCGGGGUACACCGUGAACCGGUUGCCAGCCAAUAAAGGGCACAUAGAGAGACAAACAACCACACUCACAAUCACACUUGGGGGCAAUUUA